rnacentral:rRNA from 1 species
UACAGAGGUGGCAAGCGUUGUUCGGAAUUACUGGGCGUAAAGCGUGCGCAGGCGGUUUUGUAAGACAGAGGUGAAAUCCCCCGGGCUCAACCUGGGAACUGCCUUUGAUACUGAGGGGCUCGAGUCCGGGAGAGGUGAGUGGAACUGCGAGUGUAGAGGUGAAAUUCGUAGAUAUUCGCAAGAACACCAGUGGCGAAGGCGGCUCACUGGCCCGGUACUGACGCUGAGGCGCGAAAGCGUGGGGAGCAAACAGG